CGUAGGCGGUUUAUUAAGUCAGAUGUGAAAGCCCCGGGCUUAACCUGGGAACUGCAUUUGAUACUGGUAGACUAGAGUAUGGUAGAGGGGGGUAGAAUUCCUAGUGUAGCGGUGAAAUGCGUAGAUAUUAGGAGGAAUACCAGUGGCGAAGGCGGCCCCCUGGACCAAUACUGACGCUGAGGUACGAAAGCGUGGGUAGCGAACA
rnacentral:rRNA from 1 species